rnacentral:rRNA from 1 species
AGGGGUUUGAUCAUGGGCUCAGGACGAACGCUGGCGGCGUGCUUAACACAUGCAAGUCGAACGAGGUCCAUGGAGCUUGCUCCAGAAGACCUAGUGGCGAACGGGUGCGUAACACGUGAGAAACCUGCCCCGAACUUGGGAAUAACAGUUGGAAACGACUGCUAAUACCGAAUGCCCUCGUAGCACCGCAUGGUGCAUCGAGGAAAGCGUUAGCGGUUUGGGAGGGUCUCGCGGCCUAUCAGCUAGUUGGUGAGGUAACGGCUCACCAAGGCAUCGACGGGUAGCUGGUCUGAGAGGAUGAUCAGCCACACUGGGACUGAGAUACGGCCCAGACUCCUACGGGAGGCAGCAGUGGGGAAUAUUGCACAAUGGGCGCAAGCCUGAUGCAGCAACGCCGCGUGCGGGAAGAAGGCCCUAGGGUUGUAAACCGCUUUCAGUAGGGAAGAAAAUGACGGUACCUACAGAAGAAGGUGCGGCCAACUACGUGCCAGCAGCCGCGGUGACACGUAGGCACCAAGCGUUGUCCGGAUUUAUUGGGCGUAAAGAGCUCGUAGGCGGUUCAGUCAGUCGGGUGUGAAAACUCUGGGCUCAACCCAGAGAGGCCACCCGAUACUGCUGUGACUUGAGUACGGUAGGGGAGUGGGGAAUUCCUGGUGUAGCGGUGAAAUGCGCAGAUAUCAGGAGGAACACCGGUGGCGAAGGCGCCACUCUGGGCCGUAACUGACGCUGAGGAGCGAAAGCAUGGGUAGCAACAGGAUUAGAUACCCUGGUA